GGGUUGUGAGGUUAAGCGACUAAGCGUACACGGUGGAUGCCCUGGCAGUCAGAGGCGAUGAAGGACGUGCUAAUCUGCGAAAAGCGUCGGUAAGGUGAUAUGAACCGUUAUAGCCGGCGAUGUCCGAAUGGGGAAACCCAGUGCAAUUCGUUGCACUAUCGUUAACUGAAUACAUAGGUUAACGAGGCGAACCGGGGGAACUGAAACAUCUAAGUACCCCGAGGAAAAGAAAUCAACCGAGAUUCCCCCAGUAGCGGCGAGCGAACGGGGAGCAGCCCAGAGUCUGAAUCAGCUUGUGUGUUAGUGGAACGGUCUGGAAAGUCCGACGGUACAGGGUGAUAGUCCCGUACACCAAAAUGCACAGGCUGUGAACUCGAAGAGUAGGGCGGGACACGUGGUAUCCUGUCUGAAUAUGGGGGGACCAUCCUCCAAGGCUAAAUACUCCUGACUGACCGAUAGUGAACCAGUACCGUGAGGGAAAGGCGAAAAGAACCCCGGCGAGGGGAGUGAAAAAGAACCUGAAACCGUGUACGUACAAGCAGUGGGAGCACCUUCGGGUGUGACUGCGUACCUUUUGUAUAAUGGGUCAGCGACUUAUAUUCUGUAGCAAGGUUAACCGUAUAGGGGAGCCGCAGGGAAACCGAGUCUUAACUGGGCGUUAAGUUGCAGGGUAUAGACCCGAAACCCGGUGAUCUAGCCAUGGGCAGGUUGAAGGUUGGGUAACACUAACUGGAGGACCGAACCGACUAAUGUUGAAAAAUUAGCGGAUGACUUGUGGCUGGGGGUGAAAGGCCAAUCAAACCGGGAGAUAGCUGGUUCUCCCGAAAGCUAUUUAGGUAGCGCCUCGUGAACUCAUCUUCGGGGGUAGAGCACUGUUUCGGCUAGGGGGUCAUCCCGACUUACCAACCCGAUGCAAACUACGAAUACCGAAGAAUGUUAUCACGGGAGACACACGGCGGGUGCUAACGUCCGUCGUGAAGAGGGAAACAACCCAGACCGCCAGCUAAGGUCCCAAAGUCAUGGUUAAGUGGGAAACGAUGUGGGAAGGCACAGACAGCCAGGAUGUUGGCUUAGAAGCAGCCAUCAUUUAAAGAAAGCGUAAUAGCUCACUGGUCGAGUCGGCCUGCGCGGAAGAUGUAACGGGGCUAAACCAUGCACCGAAGCUGCGGCAGCGACACUAUGUGUUGUUGGGUAGGGGAGCGUUCUGUAAGCCUGCGAAGGUGUGCUGUGAGGCAUGCUGGAGGUAUCAGAAGUGCGAAUGCUGACAUAAGUAACGAUAAAGCGGGUGAAAAGCCCGCUCGCCGGAAGACCAAGGGUUCCUGUCCAACGUUAAUCGGGGCAGGGUGAGUCGACCCCUAAGGCGAGGCCGAAAGGCGUAGUCGAUGGGAAACAGGUUAAUAUUCCUGUACUUGGUGUUACUGCGAAGGGGGGACGGAGAAGGCUAUGUUAGCCGGGCGACGGUUGUCCCGGUUUAAGCAUGUAGGCUGGUUGUCCAGGCAAAUCCGGAUAAUCAAGGCUGAGGUGUGAUGACGAGGCACUACGGUGCUGAAGUAACAAAUGCCCUGCUUCCAGGAAAAGCCUCUAAGCAUCAGGUAACAUCAAAUCGUACCCCAAACCGACACAGGUGGUCAGGUAGAGAAUACCAAGGCGCUUGAGAGAACUCGGGUGAAGGAACUAGGCAAAAUGGUGCCGUAACUUCGGGAGAAGGCACGCUGGUGUGUAGGUGAAGCCCCUGCGGGUGGAGCUGAGACCAGUCGAAGAUACCAGCUGGCUGCAACUGUUUAUUAAAAACACAGCACUGUGCAAACACGAAAGUGGACGUAUACGGUGUGACGCCUGCCCGGUGCCGGAAGGUUAAUUGAUGGGGUUAUCCGUAAGGAGAAGCUCUUGAUCGAAGCCCCGGUAAACGGCGGCCGUAACUAUAACGGUCCUAAGGUAGCGAAAUUCCUUGUCGGGUAAGUUCCGACCUGCACGAAUGGCGUAAUGAUGGCCAGGCUGUCUCCACCCGAGACUCAGUGAAAUUGAACUCGCUGUGAAGAUGCAGUGUACCCGCGGCAAGACGGAAAGACCCGUGAACCUUUACUAUAGCUUGACACUGAACAUUGAGCCUUGAUGUGUAGGAUAGGUGGGAGGCUUUGAAGCGUGGACGCCAGUCUGCGUGGAGCCAACCUUGAAAUACCACCCUUUAAUGUUUGAUGUUCUAACGUUGGCCCCUUACCGGGGUUGCGGACAGUGUCUGGUGGGUAGUUUGACUGGGGCGGUCUCCUCCCAAAGCGUAACGGAGGAGCACGAAGGUUAGCUAAUCCUGGUCGGACAUCAGGAGGUUAGUGCAAUGGCAUAAGCUAGCUUGACUGCGAGCGUGACGGCGCGAGCAGGUGCGAAAGCAGGUCAUAGUGAUCCGGUGGUUCUGAAUGGAAGGGCCAUCGCUCAACGGAUAAAAGGUACUCCGGGGAUAACAGGCUGAUACCGCCCAAGAGUUCAUAUCGACGGCGGUGUUUGGCACCUCGAUGUCGGCUCAUCACAUCCUGGGGCUGAAGUAGGUCCCAAGGGUAUGGCUGUUCGCCAUUUAAAGUGGUACGCGAGCUGGGUUUAGAACGUCGUGAGACAGUUCGGUCCCUAUCUGCCGUGGGCGCUGGAGAAUUGAGGGGGCUGCUCCUAGUACGAGAGGACCGGAGUGGACGCAUCACUGGUGUUCGGGUUGUCAUGCCAAUGGCACUGCCCGGUAGCUAAAUGCGGAAGAGAUAAGUGCUGAAAGCAUCUAAGCACGAAACUUGCCCCGAGAUGAGUUCUCCCUGAGACUUUAAGUCUCCUGAAGGAACGUUAAAGACGAUGACGUUGAUAGGCCGGGUGUGUAAGCGCAGCGAUGCGUUGAGCUAACCGGUACUAAUGAACCGUGAGGCUUAACCUUACAACGCCGAAG
rnacentral:rRNA from 1 species